rnacentral:rRNA from 1 species
GACAGGUGCUGCAUGGCUGUCGUCAGCUCGUGUUGUGAAAUGUUGGGUUAAGUCCCGCAACGAGCGCAACCCUUAUCCUUGUUGCCAGCGGUCCGGCCGGGAACUCAGAGGAGACUGCCAGUGAUAAACUGGAGGAAGGUGGGGAUGACGUCAAGUCAUCAUGGCCCUUACGACCAGGGCUACACACGUGCUACAAUGGCGCAUACAAAGAGAAGCGACCUCGCGAGAGCAAGCGGACCUCAUAAAGUGCGUCGUAGUCCGGAUUGGAGUCUGCAACUCGACUCCAUGAAGUCGGAAUCGCUAGUAAUCGUGGAUCAGAAUGCCACGGUGAAUACGUUCCCGGGCCUU